rnacentral:rRNA from 1 species
UACGUAGGGGGCAAGCGUUAUCCGGAUUUACUGGGUGUAAAGGGAGCGUAGACGGUGCAGCAAGUCUGAUGUGAAAGGUCGGGGCCCAACCCCCGGACUGCUCUGGGAACUGUCUGGCUAGAGUGCAGGAGAGGUAAGCGGAAUUCCUAGUGUAGCGGUGAAAUGCGUAGAUAUUAGGAGGAACACCAGUGGCGAAGGCGGCUUACUGGACUGUAACUGACGUUGAGGCUCGAAAGCGUGGGGAGCAAACAGG